UACAGAGGGUGCGAGCGUUAAUCGGAAUUACUGGGCGUAAAGCGCGCGUAGGCGGCUUUUCAAGUCGAUUGUGAAAUCCCCGGGCUUAACCUGGGAACUGCAGUCGAGACUGUCUAGCUAGAGUAUGGGAGAGGGAAGUGGAAUUCCAGGUGUAGCGGUGAAAUGCGUAGAUAUCUGAAGGAACAGCAGUGGCGAAAGCGACUUCCUGGACCAAUACUGACGCUCAUGUGCGAAAGCGUGGGGAGCAAACAGG
rnacentral:rRNA from 1 species